rnacentral:rRNA from 1 species
UACGUAGGGACCAAGCGUUGUUCGGAUUUACUGGGCGUAAAGGGCGCGUAGGCGGCGUGGUAAGUCACUUGUGAAAUCUCCGAGCUUAACUCGGAACGGUCAAGUGAUACUGCUGUGCUAGAGUGCAGAAGGGGCAAUCGGAAUUCUUGGUGUAGCGGUGAAAUGCGUAGAUAUCAGGAGGAAUACCGAUGGCGAAGGCAGGUCUCUGGGCUGACACUGACGCUCAUGCACGAAAGCGUGGGGAGCAAACAGG